rnacentral:tRNA from 1 species
GUUCUUGUAGUUGAACAACAACAGUAGUUUUUCGAGCUAUAGGUCUAGGUUUGAGUCCUUGCAGGAACG